ensembl:snoRNA
GAGCACUGUUCGUGACCUGUUAAUCUGGCUAUGGCUAACAGGUUCCAUUCCAGUGCCACAGCAGUUCCAGUGACAUGUACGAGUAUGAUUGACUGACUGGUGGCUCUCAGUUUCAGGUCUUGGAGACAAAG